rfam:Struthio camelus australis contig44136, whole genome shotgun sequence.
CCAAAGGCUCUUUUAAGAGCCACCUAUUUUCUCAAUUAGAAGGGCU